rnacentral:rRNA from 1 species
AACGAACGCUGGCGGCAUGCCUAACACAUGCAAGUCGAACGAGACCUUCGGGUCUAGUGGCGCACGGGUGCGUAACGCGUGGGAACCUGCCUUUAGGUUCGGGAAUAACUCAGAGAAAUUUGAGCUAAUACCGGAUAAUGUCUUCGGACCAAAGAUUUAUCGCCUUUAGAUGGGCCCGCGUUGGAUUAGCUAGUUGGUGGGGUAAAGGCCUACCAAGGCGACGAUCCAUAGCUGGUCUGAGAGGAUGAUCAGCCACACUGGGACUGAGACACGGCCCACGACUCCUACGGGAGGCAGCAGUGGGGAAUAUUGGACAAUGGGCGGAAAGACCCUGAUCCAGCAAUGCCGCGUGAGUGAUG